rnacentral:rRNA from 1 species
UAGGGCACUCUAAUGAGACUGCCGGUGACAAACCGGAGGAAGGUGGGGAUGACGUCAAGUCCUCAUGGCCCUUAUGGUAGGGCUUCACACGUCAUACAAUGGUCGGUACAGAGGGUUGCCAAGCCGCGAGGCGGAGCCAAUCCCACAAAGCCGAUCGUAGUCCGGAUUGUUCUCUGCAACUCGAGAGCAUGAAGUCGGAAUCGCUAGUAAUCGCAGGUCAGCAUACUGCGGUGAAUACGUUCCCGGGUCUU